AUGACAGUGCACGAGCUGCCGGCCUGGGUCCUUAAGCGCAUGAUAAAAAAUUGUCGGUCCUGGCUAUGGAGUGGAGAGUCUUCGGCGAGCGGCGGUAACUGCAGGGUAGCCUGGAACCUUAUAUGUCGCCCAAAGCAUCUAGGAGGCCUGGGUGUGCUCGACUUGGCCAAGUUCGGAAGAGCCCUCAGACUCCGCUGGCUUUGGAUGGCCUGGCAAAGACCCCAAAGGCCAUGGGCAAUCUCCCCCCUGCCAUGCUCGAAGGAGGAGAGGCAAUUAUUUGCAAUGGCUACUGAAAUUACUGUUGGAGAUGGACAAUCAAUCAACUUCUGGCAGGACCGCUGGCUGCAAGGUUGCUGCCCAAUGACUAUUGCCCCAUCGCUCUUUUCAAUCUCGGCAAGGAAAAAUAGAUCGGUAUCUGGCGCGUUACAUGAGGAGACAUGGAUCAAGGUCUCUCCAGCGACAUGGUUCCUGAGCUCACCAACCUGGCCGCGUUGA
rnacentral:rRNA from 1 species